GACGAACGCUGGCGGCGUGCCUAAUACAUGCAAGUCGGGCGAGCGGUGUACGGGUUAUUAAUGUAUGGGGAUCUGCCUGGUGGAGGGGUAUAACUACUGGAAACGGUAGCUAAUACCGCAUACCAUCAGAUGUACCCAUAUGGGAUUAGCUUGUAGGUAAGGUAACGGCUUACCUAGGCGACGAUCCCUAGCUGGUCUGAGAGGAUGAUCAGCCACACUGGGACUGAGACACGGCCCAGACUCCUACGGGAGGCAGCAGUGGGGAAUAUUGCACAAUGGGCGCAAGCCUGAUGCAGCCAUGCCGCGUGUAUGAAGAAGGCCUUCGGGUUGUAAAGUACUUUCAGUCGGGAGGCGGUACCGACAGAAGAAGCACCGGCUAACUCCGUGCCAGCAGCCGCGGUAAUAC
rnacentral:rRNA from 1 species